AAAAAAUGCUGUUCCCUUGUUAAAUAGCAAUAGGUAAAUGUUUGUAAAACACAUAAAUAUUUCAGCAGCCACAUGAUUGAACUGGCUGUGUAUUUUGAAAUAUUUCAUUAUCUUAAACACGACUUUUUUGGGACUUGCACCUUCGCUCUGUCCGCAAUAAGCAGGAUUUCCUGGUGGCCGAUCGUUUUAAUUCCACUCCCCAUACGCAUUCCAAUCUUGGUUCACGGUCUACUCUACAGCCAAGGCAUGCAGAGUAGAAUCAAUGAGAAACAUUUCCUGUAAUUGAAGAAGUCUUCACUGCAUGAGCAAAGAUCCUUCUGAAACUCAGUAGGAACUUUAAACUGUAACAGUAAAACAAUACUGCUUUAUUUCCUCUCUUUGUAGGAGACUCGCCCAGGUUUUGUGAUAUAUUACGUUUUCUGGGCAAGUUUGUACUUAAGCACAAUGGAAGAUGGAAUUGAGUAAGGUUUACCCAGAGUGUUGAAACAGAAUGUAAAUUAGGCAACACACCCAGUCGUUUCAACCAAAGGUCAAGUCUGUUGAAGGCAUUGUAAAAAUGAUAGAUUCUGAGUCACAAUUUGGUAAAAAUGUACAAGUCAUGGGCCAUUUUCUCAUUCACACAUUAAACUAUAUUUAUAGCUGAUGAUUAGGAGAAGGGGUGUGGAAACCAUAAAGGGUCAUAAUGUCACAAUAAAACUGAAUCUAUCUCUGCUUACUAGUGCUGUACAUAAUUAAUGACUAUUAUUUUAGCUAAUAACUGUAUGAAUAAUCCCAUUAAAUGUCAUGAGGCUUGUUAAAGCUGAUAAAGCUUAAGAUAGUGAACCUGACCGGUAACUCAUUCACCCCAAGGUUAAUCGCUGGUUUCUGCUCUGUGCUUUGCCUGUGGACCUCAGCCUCUGCUGUAACUGUGCUGUGGUGAGUAGCUUCACCAACCCUGUGUUGAGGAAGUGCAAUUUCAGGGCACCUUUUCAUUUCCAGCUGUGACCCGUGUUAGUAAGGGAAUGGAAUUGCGUGGGGGUCAGGGUCUGCCUUUGGUUAUGGCGAGUGUUGCCUGCCAGUGCCUAUGGCACUUGGAGAAGACUGUUUCAAAGAUCCAGCAGAAGUGUGACAGGCCUAACGGGCCUCAUAUAUGCUGUACGUUUCAUACGACCGAUGAUCUGAUCGGAGGUGCAAGCUGAUAAAGAUGAAAGCAGCAAGAGUUAAUACAGAGGUGGCAUGGUAGCAUGGCAGCCCACAUAACGCUUUACAGCGCCAGCAAUCAGGGUUCAAUUCCUGCCAUUGCCUAUGAGGAAUUUGCAAACACUUCUGUGACCGUGUGGGUCUCCUCCAGGUGCUCGAGUUUCCUAUCAAAUUCCAAAAAUAUAUGGGUUUAUCAAUGGUUAGUAAAUUGUGGGCAUGCUUCGUUGCUGUCAGAGUACAACAGCCUGUCCAUAGGGCAUUCUUGGACUAUGUUGGUCGUUGAUGCAAACCACACAUUGUACUGUAUAGUUUGAUAGUUCGAUGUGCAUAUGGCAAAUAUUCUUUGAAAAUCUUUAUAUUAAAAAAUGAAUUUACAGAAGUUCAGCCAGCAGAAGUGUUCAAUUGUAACAUUUAAGCAAAGUUUGGAUGGGUACGUGGAUGAGAGGUAUGGAGGACUAUAGUCUGGAUGCAGGACUAAAGAUAAAGAUUAAUUAUAUUUAUGACAUGUACAUCAAAACAUACAGUGAAAUGCAUCAUUUUACAUCAAAUGAAAUUGUGCUGUGGAGCCCACAAGUGUUGCAAAGCAUCCAGCACCAAGAUAGCAUGCCAAGAUACUCAGUAACAGCUUUUGGAAUGUGGGAGGAAACUGGGGCACUUGGAGGAAACCCCAGUCAUGCUGGCUGAGGGAUAAUCACCUGGGAUCAAUCUCCCCAUUGCAGCUGCAUUCUCCACAGAGAAUGGAGGAGUAGCACCAAGAUAGGCGUAGGGUGGGGGUGGGGGAUAUGUGUGUGGGGAUGGGGGAUAUGUGUGUGGGGGUGGGGGAUAUGUGUGUGGGGGUGGGGGAUAUGUGUGUGGAGGUAGCCAAUAAAGUGUGAGAAAAGUCUGGGGUCAUCACUGUAGGAAAUGGAGAAUGACUGCUGCCAUCAGUAGAUGAAAGGAGGAUAAGGGAACAUGGGGUACUUGCCUUAGAGAAAGAAAGAAGAUAACAUUUUGAUCUCAGGGCAAUGAGGGCAUGGAGUGCUUCCACACAAUGGGUAUUUAUAGUGGGCACUUU